rnacentral:lncRNA from 1 species
UAAAAUGAUAAUCUCCUGGCAAAAUAUUGACACAACUGUCCAUGAGCUUCAGUACAAAUAUUCAGAGAUACAAGGCCAUCUAAAAUCCAUCCAACACAUGAGCUUCAGUGCAAAUAUUCAGAGAUACAAGGCCAUCUAAAAUUCAUCAAACACAUGAGCUUCAGUACAAAUAUUCAAAGAUAAAAUGAUAAUCUCCUAGCAAAAUGUCAGGCACAAGUACCAAUGAGCUUCAGAACACAUAUUCAGAGAUACAAGGCCAUCUAAGUUGUUAUUCAGGACUGCAUCAUAAUCCUAGCAAAUGAUAAUCUCCUAGUAAAAUACAUGUGUCAGCCGAUUUUCAUCACCAAAAACAUGCUCAAGAAGAACCCUGGCUAGAUUUUCUUCCUCUUCCAAAGGUUGUCAAUUAACAUUCGAGCAUCUGAAUCAUGGUCGGGGCCGGCGAAGGG